AAACGCCCCAAAAAUGUAUAAUUAUAGGGGCCUAGUUAAAAUAAAUAUAUAAAUAUAUUUACUUUUAUUUUGCUUUCAAAAUACAUUUGUAUGCUUAUAUGAUAGUAAUGAACUCAAAUGGCAAGAGAGAAGUUGUUGAUCUUGUAAUUUUUUUUUUUUAAUACAAAUUUGUGAAUUUUUUAUAUAAUGAACACGUUUGUGUUUUGUUUUACUGUUCAUCAAUUUCUUGUUGAUAGCAAGAAUUUAUUUGUUUUUUUUUUUCAAUUUGAAUCUAUUACAAUAAAGCGAUUUAUAAAAAUAC
rnacentral:misc_RNA from 1 species